CCCAGACAGCCAGGAUGUUGGCUUAGAAGCAGCCAUCAUUUAAAGAAAGCGUAAUAGCUCACUGGUCGAGUCGGCCUGCGCGGAAGAUGUAACGGGGCUAAACCAUGCACCGAAGCUGCGGCAGCGAACGUAUCACUUAAAGCGAUUCAGCGGGUUACGAUUGACGGAGCGAAGCGACGUCAAAGCGUAUACAAAGUCGAGUCGGUUUAAGGAUACGUUCGUUGGGUAGGGGAGCGUUCUGUAAGCCCGUGAAGGUGGCCUGUGAGGGUUGCUGGAGGUAUCAGAAGUGCGAAUGCUGACAUAAGUAACGAUAAAGCGGGUGAAAAGCCCGCUCGCCGGAAGACCAAGGGUUCCUGUCCAACGUUAAUCGGGGCAGGGUGAGUCGACCCCUAAGGCGAGGCCGAAAGGCGUAGUCGAUGGGAAACGGGUUAAUAUUCCCGUACUUGGUGUUACUGCGAAGGGGGGACGGAGAAGGCUAUGUUGGCCGGGCGACGGUUGUCCCGGUUUAAGCGUGUAGGUGUGUGUUCCAGGUAAAUCCGGUUCACUUUAACACUGAGGCGUGAUGACGAGGCACUACGGUGCUGAAGCAACAAAUGCCCUGCUUCCAGGAAAAGCCUCUAAGCAUCAGGUAACACGAAAUCGUACCCCAAACCGACACAGGUGGUCAGGUAGAGAAUACCAAGGCGCUUGAGAGAACUCGGGUGAAGGAACUAGGCAAAAUGGUGCCGUAACUUCGGGAGAAGGCACGCUGACACGUAGGUGAAGUGAUUUACUCACGGAGCUGAAGUCAGUCGAAGAUACCAGCUGGCUGCAACUGUUUAUUAAAAACACAGCACUGUGCAAACACGAAAGUGGACGUAUACGGUGUGACGCCUGCCCGGUGCCGGAAGGUUAAUUGAUGGGGUCAGCGUAAGCGAAGCUCCUGAUCGAAGCCCCGGUAAACGGCGGCCGUAACUAUAACGGUCCUAAGGUAGCGAAAUUCCUUGUCGGGUAAGUUCCGACCUGCACGAAUGGCGUAAUGAUGGCCAGGCUGUCUCC
rnacentral:rRNA from 1 species